UGGANUUGNAACUGCUUUNNACAGGAAGAAACACUGGUUCGUGAACCAGCUUGACGGUACUGUAAGAAUAAGGAUCGGCUAACUCCGUGCCAGCAGCCGCGGUAAUACGGAGGAUCCAAGCGUUAUCCGGAAUCAUUGGGUUUAAAGGGUCCGUAGGCGGUUUAAUAAGUCAGUGGUGAAAGCCCAUCGCUCAACGGUGGAACGGCCAUUGAUACUGUUAAACUUGAAUUAUUAGGAAGUAACUAGAAUAUGUAGUGUAGCGGUGAAAUGCUUAGAGAUUACAUGGAAUACCAAUUGCGAAGGCAGGUUACUACUAAUUGAUUGACGCUGAUGGACGAAAGCGUGGGUAGCGAACAGGAUUAGAUACCCUGGUAGUCCAAGGGCG
rnacentral:rRNA from 1 species